CACCCCCACGGACCUCCCAGUCGCGGCCGGUUACGACAGAGCCUGGCGCGAACCCAGAGUCUCUGGUGGCACAGCGUAGCCACUGCGCCACCAGGGAGGCCCCCCAAUACGUCACUUUCAACGUCAUUUAAUGUUACAUCAUACGUUUCUUUGUGUUCAACACUUUAAAUCAAGUUUAUGAAUGUGUUGUCACUUCUUCAUUUGCCAGAGGCGAGAGGGGUCGAGGUGGCCGUUUUGGGGCUCGCGGGGGAGGACCUGUAGGUAAGCACCUUCUGAAGGUAAGCCCCUUCUGAACACCACACUGAACAUUGCAAAGUGUGCGCCCUUAGUAAUGUUUGAGGUACAUUUAUAUUUAAUCUCAAACCAACUCAGGAAAUGCAUUGAAAUUUGAAUGCAUUUGGCAUUUAGUAAAUUAAUCUGUGAAAUGGCCAUGUAUGAUCUCCUCCAUUUGUAGAUUUUGCCCAUUUGUCCCUCGCAUCCCAUUUGACCUCUACUUGUGUGAAAUAGCCUGCCUGAAGCCUGAAGCCUGCCCCUGAUGAGACAGCCUUCAGUGAGGCCCUAUUGAAGAGGAACCAGGACCUUGGCCCCACCUCUGUUGCACAGUCAUCCAUCUUGUCACUGGUCAUCAAAAUCACCAACGUCAUUGACAACGUCAUCGUUUCAGCUGGGGCUGAACGUACCACCGUGUCAGAUUUGAUCUCAACAGAGAAAUAGUUUGGUGAAUCCUCAAAUGCAGGGAUAUAGGAAUUUCAAACAAGUUAGUUGAGUUGAAUAUGACAUUGUUUUCAUACUUUUCUAACUCUAGGAAAUUGAGGAAAUGAGACGGGUGGGCUCCUACAAGAAAGGCACCAUGACAACAGGACACAAUGUUGCAGACCUUGCUGUCAUUCUGAAGAUAUUGCCUUCUGUGGAGACAGAGACCGCUCUGGCAACCAAGGUGGUGGAGACCCUACGCACACAGGACCCUUUGGAAGUCGAUAUGAAGCUCUUGCAGAACUCCCUGGCUGCCGUUCGCCACGCUCGCUUGUUUGAAGAAAAUGCCUCCCACUCCACGGUCACUCUGCACCCUCAAUGUGGCCUUCAGGCGGAGCCUGGAGAUGCUGUAAUCAGGGCUUUUCUUGCCUGGUUCAGCUGGGAUCGCAGACCCCUGUGAGAAUGGACACUACCGUGUAUUCACUGUCAUGAACCUGGAGCAACCUGCCGGCCUCUCCAUUACAUUAAAAAAUGUUGUCAUCUUAUCCAGAGCGAUUUAGCAGGAGCAAUUAGGGUUGAGUGCCUUGCUCAGGGGCACAUCCACAGAUUUUUCACCUAGUCGGCUCUGGGAUUCAAACCAGCAACCUUUUGGUUACUGGCUCAGCACUCUAAAGCACUAUGAUACCCGCCAGCCCGUCUCUUAUCCUAUCUUGUAAGAGUGUAAACUUACACUUUCUGACGCAAUCUUGAAUUAUUGUUUGAUUUCUGUUUUUUUUGCUGGUCUAAACGGUAGUCUGCAAGACUAAUACUAAGGUAUCAAACAAUACAUUUUCAGAGUGUUCCUCACAUUAUACCAAGAUGCUGACAUAAUAUUUGCUCUAUCCUGGACAUGGUGUGCCUCACUGCUCAGACCCUGGUGAGGUUGCUGUCUCAUUGCGGCUACAUGAAGAUUCUGGGUCUGGAUGGAGACACUAGCCAUCUGGUGGUGGAGACAUCCACGUGGGAUGGAGUGACAGUGAAGCCUUCUGAAAAGGUGUAUGAGAAGAUGCCGGAGUUGGAAUUGGUGGUGGAUGAUGUUGAUGGUGAUGUAGAAAUAGAGGGCAUGGACGCUAAAGAGGGCAUGGACUCUAAAAGAGGGCAUGGACGCUAAAGAGGGCAUGGACGCUAAAGAGGGCAUGGACGCUAAAAGAGGGCAUGGACGCUAAAAGAGGGCAUGGACGCUAAAAGAGGGCAUGGACGCUAAAAGAGGGCAUGGACGCUAAAAGAGGGCAUGGACGCUAAAAGAGGGCAUGGACGCUAAAAGAGGGCAUGGACGCUAAAAGAGGGCAUGGACGCUAAAGAGGGCAUGGACGCUAAAAGAGGGCAUGGACGCUAAAGAGUGAUUGUGGUAAAGGGCUUUAUUCAGUUUGUCAUUCGACUGUGUUGCAUGAUCCCCUUCUGAGAAAGGAUGGGGAUUUAUAUUUUAUUUUUGUACCGUCUCCUACCCGCGCCCAGUUUAAGGGCUUGCUUUGUUUUCAGACAAACCUGAUACUAGGAACACAAGGUGUGGCUUCCUAUGUUUCAUUUCAUAUCAAAUCUUGUUAACAGAAAUUGAACUAUUUUCUCUUGGCUUAUUGUAUGUCAAAGAUUUUGAUUUAAAAAAAUGUUUCAUUGGAAAAUCUUAUUUCUAUGGUCCACUCCCAAUUGAUGGUGCUCCAGUGUACAGUUUCUCACUGAGCUGGCUGUCAAAAAUGGAUAGAUCAUGUCAGUUUGGUGUCUGAAGAUACUGAGCAGCCAGUGGAGACCAGCUGUCUCUGUUUAUGCUGUCUGGACUAUUACAUACAGCGGUGUUGUCACUAAUAACUGGGCUUUAAUCAAUGAACCCAAUUACGGAGUCCUUUGACAGAAGAACUGCAAAAUGUCAUAGUCAGUUAGAGGAGCUGUGAAGGGAGGGGGAGGCAGUAAGCUCAGAGCACUCAGCAAUUAAACCCAAGGCUGGCUUAUUGAGGUUUUCUCUGGCUAGACGGAGAUUGAGCCAUGGCUGAUAGUAUAUCAUCUAUUUUGUUUGAUAUGAGUGCACAAAAUACUAUGCUAUUGGUAUGAAAUCUUUAAAGUAUCUGUUUCAGUGCUUUCGUAAGCCAUUAAACUCAAGGAUUUAUUCUGCCCCACAUAUCGAACAGAGCGUUUUCAAUAUUUUAACUUUUUCUUGAACAAUUAAGCUGAAAAAACAUGCCGUAGUUAUUGUUGAUACUCCAGCUGACUAACCACAUCCUCUUCAAAUGGAAUGUUGCAACUGUGGUAUUGGAGGUUUAAACUUUUGCAUCCUUCUGGGGGUUCCAACCAUUCCGAGAAAAAAACAUAGUUGGAUAGACUACUUUUGUCUCAAAAUAACAAAAGUGAUGCUGGUGUUUUUCUCUCGGACCUUGACUAUGCUUAGCUUUUCAAUGGGUUGUUUAUUUGCAGUAUUCGUCCACUCGUACCUGUAUGCAGUUUGAAAAUGGCAGAUUUGGACACUAAUAAGCUUCUAAAUUGGAACGCUGUACAGUAACAUGCUAUACGUGAAAUCAGAGCUCUGGCUCUGCGCUUCACAGCUCUAUAUUGGUUUUGACAGACAGCCGUUCUGAACUUGAGCACCGAGUAGGGCAAGAAGUUGCCCCCAUCCCUCCUGCUAAUUGGGCAGGUAGCCUAGUGGUUAGAGUGUU